UUGAUGAAUCUAUGUUCCUAUUUUCUUUGCAGGAUGACGUGGUGUACAUGAAAUAAACCAACAACCUUGUAGAUCCUCUCACCAUAUAAAUAUAUUUUUCUCCUACAAUACCUCCAUCUCCAAAUAAUUCUAUUUCAAACUCUUCCCAGACUCCUUUUCCAAAUUAGUCUCAACCAGAUUAGCACCUAAAUUCGCCAAUGACAGAGCUUCCUGUAUCUCAAACACUUUCGUAGAUCCCGCCUGGUGUUAUUCAGCUUUCAAAUUCAAUCGCAACACCCGUAUCACCACAACCUGAGUUGCCCCACCUAUCC
rnacentral:lncRNA from 1 species